GAUGAACGCUGGCUACAGGCUUAACACAUGCAAGUCGAGGGGAAACGGCAUUGAGUGCUUGCACUGAAUGGACGUCGACCGGCGCACGGGUGAGUAACGCGUAUCCAACCUUCCCGUUACUGCGGGAUAACCUGCCGAAAGGCAGACUAAUACCGCAUGUUCUUCGAUGACGGCAUCAGAUUCGAAGCAAAGAUCCGUCGGUAACGGAGGGGGAUGCGUCUGAUUAGCUAGUUGGCGGGGCGACGGCCCACCAAGGCGACGAUAAGUAGGGGGUUCUGAGAGGAAGGUCCCCCACAUUGGAACUGAGACACGGUCCAAACUCCUGCGGGAGGCAGCAGUGAGGAAUAUUAGGCAAUGGGCGGAAGCCUGAACCAGCCAAGUAGCGUGCAGGAUGACGGCCCUACGGGUUGUAAACUGCUUUUAUGCGGGGAUAAAGUGAGGGACGCGUCCCUUUUUGCAGGUACCGCAUGAAUAAGGACCGGCUAAUUCCGUG
rnacentral:rRNA from 1 species